UACGGGACUAAUCGUCCUUGACUGGGAAUGUGGCAUGCUAUGCCUGUGUCCACUCCCUCCCACCACCUCCACCAUGGCCCGAAGCAGCUUAUGGGCCGCUCAUUCCCGCCGUUUAUUCUUAGGGCUCUUCCUCAACUCUCGCACUGCCGCCGCCGCUGCUACGCCUACGCAACCGUCACCGUCAUCCCCAUGGCUUCCACGGCGACCACGCGCCGCCGGCCGCGGCGGGGUUCCAAGGGCCCCAACGCCGACCUCUCGCGCACCCUAACCGACUGCACCCGCCGCGGGGACGCGGCCGCCGCCAUGGCCGCUUUCGACGCCGCCGUCGACGCUGACGCCGACGCCGUUCCCCGCCUCUCCGCUCACCAGUACAACCAACUCCUCCACCUCCUCGCCGCCACCGACCGCUCCUCCUUCCCCAGCCCCCCCGCCGCCGCCGCGCGCCGUGUCUUCGCCCACAUGCUCCAGGCCGCGGCGCCGCCCUCCGAGGCCACCAUAACCUCCCUCGCGCGCGUCAUCGCCGCCGACCCGGCGUCGGCCGCCGAUGAGGCGUUCGAGCUCGUGGCCACAAUGAAGGACAAGUACGGCCUCUCCCCGCGCCUCCGCUCCUACGGCCCCGUCCUCGCGGCGUUCCGGCGUGCCGGGGAGGCCGCUAAGGCCUACGCUGUCGAGGCGCACAUGACGGCCUCCGGCGUCUCGCCUGAGGAGCCCGAGCUUGCCGCGCUGCUGGAUGUCAGCUCCAGAGCCGGGGAUGCGGACAAGGUGUAUGAGUAUAUGCAUAAGCUGAGGCAAGCCGUCCACUGUGUCAGCGAGGAGACUGCCGGAGUUGUGGAGGCCUGGUUCAGGAGCGACGAGGCGGCAACUGCCGGCAAGCCUCAAUGGGAUGCCGCUCAGGUGAAGGACGCCAUUGUGGCGAACGGUGGUGGCUGCCACCGCCUUGGGUGGCUUGGAACCGGCCCUUGGACGGUGCAGCGGGUAAGAGUUGGGGAUGCUGAUCAGUGUGGGGGAUGUAGAUUCCAUCUCGCUUGCAUUGACAUUGACAUGGAGGAGACACAGAGGUUUGCUGAUUCCGUUGCUGGUUUGGCCCUCGAGAGGGAGACAAAAACAAAUUUCAGCCGAUUUCAGGAGUGGUUGGAAGCAAAUAAAGACUACCAAGCUAUAGUCGAUGGUGCGAAUAUUGCACUAUAUCAACAAAAUUUUGCGGAGGGCGGUUUCAGUUUGACCCAGCUGGAUGGCGUUAUAACAGAGCUUCGGGAUAGAUAUCAUGGAAAAUGGCCACUUGUCAUACUACACAAUAAGCGAAUUUCCAAGCUUAUGGAAAAUUCGUCUAAUAGGCAUUUGAUUGAGACCUGGAGAACAAAUGGGGCUUUGUAUACUUCACCAAGUGGGUCAAAUGAUGACUGGUAUUGGCUAUAUGCAGCGAUCAAACUAAAUUGUUUGCUUGUGACUAAUGAUGAAAUGAGAGAUCACAUAUUCGAGCUUCUAGGGCCGUCUUUUUUUCCAAAGUGGAAGCAACGCCAUCGGUUGCAACUGCGCAGGUAAAGUACACCUUUAAUAAAGGAAAAGCGGUGCUUGUGAUGCCACCCCCUUACUCUUCAGAACUUCAAGAGUCGGAGAUGGGAUCUUGGCACAUUCCAAUUGAAGAGAAGUCUGGGAAUGAGAGAGGCAGGAUUUGGCUUUGUAUUGGCAGGGGAGGUUCCUGCAAAGAACAUGGCGAAGUUCCUUCGACUAAUGGAGCUGUCCACAAAGUUCCUCAAACUGAGGCAUCUAACGUGGUGCAGCAGGGGCUGACAGAAAAUAAGGAUGAAUCGAUAACUGGUAAAAGAAAGGAUAGAGAUUGAUCACCUUCACCUAUCCAGGAGCACCAUCUGCUCUUGAGUCUGCCAUCUUGUGAGCGAUUGUGGCCACUUGUUGUUGAUUCAGCUGAGGCAUUUCAAGAAUAGGGAUGCAGCGAUAAUGCCAUCCCAGAUAUGUAGGGUGUGAUAAUUAUUAAUCACUUUCGCUGGGUUGCAGACUUUCAUUCUUCACAAAUUGGGUGUGAUCUUAGACGAUUUCUGUGCUAUGUAUCUGACUGCAUCCAUGAUCAUCUAGUGUUAACUCCAGAAUACCAGCUAAUGAACUUUUUUAUUACCAUCAAACUGAGGCACAUUUGCAAGUGCAUUGUUGAGCU